rnacentral:rRNA from 1 species
AUUGAACGCUGGCGGCAGGCCUAACACAUGCAAGUCGAGCGGAUGAAGGGAGCUUGCUCCUGGAUUCAGCGGCGGACGGGUGAGUAAUGCCUAGGAAUCUGCCUGGUAGUGGGGGAUAACGUCCGGAAACGGGCGCUAAUACCGCAUACGUCCUGAGGGAGAAAGUGGGGGAUCUUCGUACCUCCCGCUAUCAGAUGAGCCUAGGUCGGAUUAGCUAGUUGGUGGGGUAAAGGCCUACCAAGGCGACGAUCCGUAACUGGUCUGAGAGGAUGAUCAGUCACACUGGAACUGAGACACGGUCCAGACUCCUACGGGAGGCAGCAGUGGGGAAUAUUGGACAAUGGGCGAAAGCCUGAUCCAGCCAUGCCGCGUGUGUGAAGAAGGUCUUCGGAUUGUAAAGCACUUUAAGUUGGGAGGAAGGGCAGUAAGUUAAUACCUUGCUGUUUUGACGUUACCAACAGAAUAAGCACCGGCUAACUUCGUG